rnacentral:rRNA from 1 species
UACGUAGGGGGCAAGCGUUGUCAGGAAUUAUUGGGCGUAAAGGGCGCGCAGGUGGUUCCUUAAGUCUGAUGUGAAAGCCCACGGCUCAACCGUGGAGGGCCAUUGGAAACUGGGGAACUUGAGGACAGAAGAGGAGAGCGGAAUUCCACGUGUAGCGGUGAAAUGCGUAGAUAUGUGGAGGAACACCAGUGGCGAAGGCGGCUCUCUGGUCUGUAACUGACGCUGAGGCGCGAAAGCGUGGGGAGCAAACAGG